rnacentral:rRNA from 1 species
AUUGAACGCUGGCGGCAUGCUUUACACAUGCAAGUCGAACGGCAGCGCGGGCUUCGGCCUGGCGGCGAGUGGCGAACGGGUGAGUAAUACAUCGGAACGUGCCCUGUAGUGGGGGAUAGCUCGGCGAAAGCCGGAUUAAUACCGCAUACGACCUGAGGGUGAAAGCGGGGGAUCUUCGGACCUCGCGCUAUUUGAGCGGCCGAUGGCAGAUUAGCUAGUUGGUGGGGUAAAGGCCUACCAAGGCGACGAUCUGUAGCUGGUCUGAGAGGACGACCAGCCAGACUGGGACUGAGACACGGCCCAGACUCCUACGGGAGGCAGCAGUGGGGAAUUUUGGACGAUGGGCGAAAGCCUGAUACAGCAAUGCCGCGUGUGUGAUGAAGGCCUUCGGGUUGUAAAGCACCUUUGGCGGGAACGAAAAGGACUGUGCCAAUACCACGGUUCGAUGACGGUACCCGCAGAAUAAGCACCGGCUAACUACGUG